rnacentral:rRNA from 1 species
AACGAACGCUGGCGGCAGGCUUAACACAUGCAAGUCGAGCGCCCCGCAAGGGGAGCGGCAGACGGGUGAGUAACGCGUGGGAAUCUACCUAUCUCUACGGAAUAACGCAUGGAAACGUGUGAUAAUAACGUAUACGUACUCCGGGAGAAAGAUUUAUCGGGGAUGGAUGCGCCCGGGUUGGAUUAGGUAGUUGGAGGGGGAAAGGCCUACCAAGGCGACGAUCGAGAGCUGGUCUGAGAGGAUGAUCAGCCACACUGGGACUGGGACACGGCCCAGACUCCUACGGGAGGCAGCAGUGGGGAAUAUUGGAAAAUGGGCGCAAGCCUGAUCCAGCCAUGCCGCGUGAGUGAUGAAGGCCCUAGGGUUGUAAAGCUCUUUCACCGGUGAAGAUAAUGACGGUAACCGGAGAAGAAGCCCCGGCUAACUUCGUGCCAGCCGCCGCGGUAAAAC